ACUGGGGCUUGUUUUAGCAGCAUUGAUUAAGUUGUCAUUGAUUUUCAAGAUAGGAAAUAGAACUUUCAAAUUUCCCACAUGAAUUUUAAAUAAGUCAGAUAUUAACAACAAGAUAAAACAUUUACCAUGGCAAUGACAGAAUAGUCAAGUAUCAUUCAAAACCUUUCAAGGCUCACAAAGAGCAUAUGGAUUCUAGAUGUCAAUACAUACAUGACUAGAACUUACCUGGAGACACACAGCCAGCAAGAUGAGCAUCUGGAGCAGAGAGGAAUUUUACUUUAACGGAAGAUAGCGGUGAGGGCUUGAACACUAAGGAAUUAAUGAGAGAUCAGCCCCUUUAGCGACUCAAAGCAUAUUAUAACUCCAGCUGGUCAAAAAGAGAGGAAAUAAAUAAUAUAACAGGAACAACUGGAAGAGCAAGUGCAGCAUCAGGUUGGUGCAUUUCUUCUGAUCAAAAGGUCGAAUUGCAACUGGUCUUUGAAGAGUGUGCUGGUGACAGUGUGCAACCUUUGCAGUAGCUCCUGGACUGGCCCUAGACUGCUGUCAAAUUAAACCAGCACUGUAAAGAAGAGAGCAAGUUGAAUGAAGUUGAAUGAAGGGGCAUCUUAAUUCCAAUCCUGGCUCUAAUGCUGACUGUAAGCAUGACCCCGGAUGAGUUAUUCACUCUCUCAGUCUCAGUCUCCUCAUCCACAAAGCAGGGAUCACAAUAAAUGAAUAGCACCUUUCACAGAACCCACCAUAUAUACUGAGUGUUCAAUAAAUACCGUGUUCAUCAUCUAACAUCAUAACACAUUGAGCAUCCAUCAAAGCAGAAGUAGUUCGCACCUGGAUAUUUCUGUUUCUUUUUUUUUUUUUGCUAUCCUACUGGUGUUUUACUUAAAUUUAGUGUGGUAAUAUGAAAGAAAAUUA
rnacentral:lncRNA from 1 species